rnacentral:pre_miRNA from 1 species
AUAACGAUAUUGAAGAGAAGAAGAUUGAUGAAAGUGAAACUUAAUUCGGGUCCAUACAUGUUAUGAAUUUUUAAUGAGCUUCCAAGUGAUGUUUUUGAAUAUGAAACCAUUUAGCGUCUUUUUUUAGUUUAUAUUUUUUAUUAGGAAUGAUAUUAUGAUUUUGUGUGGAUACCCUUGAUGUUGUUAUGUAAUUUGCCUUGUUGGCAAUUUUUUUAAUUAUAAUAUCACAUGUAUUAUUGAGCCUUUUAUGAAAUACAUAAUAAAACCGCUUAAUAAUCCAUAAAUAUAUUAUAACUAAAAAUCCUCAAUAAGGAAAAUUACAUGACAACAUCAAAGGUAUCCCACACAAAAAUCAUGCUAUCAUUUCUCAUACAAUAAACAUAAACAAAAAAGAGACACUAAUUGGUUUCAUCUUCAAAAUCAUCACUUGGAAGCUCAUUCGAAUCAAAAUUCAUAACAACUAUUGACCCUAAUUCAGUUUCACUUUCGUUAAUCUUCUUCUCUUCAAUAUCAUUAUU